UCCUGGUUAACCCAGGCAGUCUCACUAGAGUGCCCACCAUUACGUGAUGGCAACUAAUAAUAAGGGUUGCGCUCGUUGCGGGACUUAACCCAACACCUCACGGCACGAGCUGACGACAGCCAUGCAGCACCUGUAUAGAGACCCUUGCGGGAAAUAUCAUUUCUGAUAUCGUCCUCUAUAUUUCAAGUCUGGGUAAGGUUGUUCGCGUUGCAUCGAAUUAAACCACAUGCUCCACUGCUUGUGCGGGCCCCCGUCAAUUCUUUUGAGUUUCACCCUUGCGAGCGUACUCCCCAGGCGGUAUACUUAACGCGUUAGCUACGACACAGCCGGGGUUGAGACCAGCUACAUCAAGUAUACAUCGUUUACGGCAAGGACUAC
rnacentral:misc_RNA from 1 species